GUCGAGCGGCGGACGGGUGAGUAACACGUGAGAAUCUGCCCAUUAGUGGGGGAUAACCUGGGGAAACCCAGGCUAAUACCGCAUAAUCCCUACGGGGGAAAGCAGGGGACCUUCGGGCCUUGUGCUGAUGGAUGAGCUCGCGUCGGAUUAGCUUGUUGGUGAGGUAAUGGCUCACCAAGGCGACGAUCCGUAGCUGGUCUUAGAGGAUGAUCAGCCACACCGGGACUGAGACACGGCCCGGACUCCUACGGGAGGCAGCAGUGGGGAAUCUUGGACAAUGGGGGCAACCCUGAUCCAGCCAUGCCGCGUGUGUGAAGAAGGCCUUCGGGUUGUAAAGCACUUUCAGUAGGGAGGAAGGCUUAUCCUUAAUACGGAUGAGUACUUGACGUUACCUACAGAAGAAGCACCGGCUAAUUUCGUGCCAGCAGCCGCGGUAAUACGAAAGGUGCGAGCGUUAAUCGGAAUUACUGGGCGUAAAGCGCGCGUAGGCGGUUUGCUAAGUCAGAUGUGAAAGCCCCGGGCUCAACCUGGGAACUGCAUUUGAAACUGGCAGGCUAGAAUGCAGUAGAGGGAGGUGGAAUUUCCGGUGUAGCGGUGAAAUGCGUAGAGAUCGGAAGGAACACCAGUGGCGAAGGCGGCCUCCUGGACUGACAUUGACGCUGAGGUGCGAAAGCGUGGGGAGCAAACAGGAUUAGAUACCCUGGUAGUCCACGCCGUAAACGAUGUCUACUAGUCGUUGGGAAUCUUAGUAUUCUUGGUGACGAAGUUAACGCGAUAAGUAGACCGCCUGGGGGAGUACGGCCGCAAGGUUAAAACUCAAAUGAAUUGACGGGGGCCCGCACAAGCGGUGGAACCAGGUGGUUUAAUUCGAUGCAACGCGAAGAACCUUACCAGGCCUUGACAUCCUUGGAACUUUCUAGAAGAUAGAUUGGUGCCUUCGGGAGCCAAGUGACAGGUGCUGCAUGGCUGUCGUCAGCUCGUGUCCUG
rnacentral:rRNA from 1 species